AUGAACGCUGGCGGCGUGCCUAAUACAUGCCAGUCGAGCGAACAGACGAGGAGCUUGCUCCUCUGACGUUAGCGGCGGACGGGUGAGUAACACGUGGAUAACCUACCUAUAAGCCUGGGAUAACUUCGGGAAACCGGAGCUAAUACCGGAUAAUAUAUUGAACCGCAUGGUUCAAUAGUGAAAGACGGUUUUGCUGUCACUUAUAGAUGGAUCCGCGCCGCAUUAGCUAGUUGGUAAGGUAACGGCUUACCAAGGCAACGAUGCGUAGCCGACCUGAGAGGGUGAUCGGCCACACUGGAACUGAGACACGGUCCAGACUCCUACGGGAGGCAGCAGUAGGGAAUCUUCCGCAAUGGGCGAAAGCCUGACGGAGCAACGCCGCGUGAGUGAUGAAGGUCUUCGGAUCGUAAAACUCUGUUAUUAGGGAAGAACAAAUGUGUAAGUAACUAUGCACGUCUUGACGGUACCUAAUCAGAAAGCCACGGCUAACUACGUG
rnacentral:rRNA from 1 species